rnacentral:rRNA from 1 species
GAUGAACGCUAGCUACAGGCUUAACACAUGCAAGUCGCGGGGCAGCAUGGGGGUUGCUUGCAAUCCCCGAUGGCGACCGGCGCACGGGUGAGUAACGCGUAUCCAACCUGCCCUUCACCACGGGAUAACCCGGCGAAAGUCGGACUAAUACCGUAUGUUGUCCAUUGACGGCAUCCGAUUUGGACGAAAGGCUUGGCGGUGAGGGAUGGGGAUGCGUCCGAUUAGCCAGACGGCGGGGUAACGGCCCACCGUGGCUACGAUCGGUAGGGGUUCUGAGAGGAAGGUCCCCCACACUGGAACUGAGGCACGGUCCAGACUCCUACGGGAGGCAGCAGUGAGGAAUAUUGGUCAAUGGGCGUAAGCCUGAACCAGCCAAGUAGCGUGCAGGAUGACGGCCCUAUGGGUUGUAAACUGCUUUUAUGCGGGGAUAAAGUGGCCCACGUGUGGGCUUUUGCAGGUACCGCAUGAAUAAGGACCGGCUAAUUCCGUG